rnacentral:ncRNA from 1 species
AAAGAUGGAAGUGGUUCUAUUGACCUAUAAAACACACAUAUGAUUAAGGAAUUGUCAACCACUUUGUGGCACCUAACUAUGAUUUUUA